rnacentral:rRNA from 1 species
AUUGAACGCUGGCGGCAGGCUUAACACAUGCAAGUCGAGCGGAGAUGAGGUGCUUGCACCUUAUCUUAGCGGCGGACGGGUGAGUAAUGCUUAGGAAUCUGCCUAUUAGUGGGGGACAACAUUCCGAAAGGAAUGCUAAUACCGCAUACGCCCUACGGGGGAAAGCAGGGGAUCUUCGGACCUUGCGCUAAUAGAUGAGCCUAAGUCGGAUUAGCUAGCUGGUGGGGUAAAGGCCUACCAAGGCGACGAUCUGUAGCGGGUCUGAGAGGAUGAUCCGCCACACUGGGACUGAGACACGGCCCAGACUCCUACGGGAGGCAGCAGUGGGGAAUAUUGGACAAUGGGCGGAAGCCUGAUCCAGCCAUGCCGCGUGUGUGAAGAAGGCCUUUUGGUUGUAAAGCACUUUAAGCGAGGAGGAGGCUACCUGGAUUAAUACUCUAGGAUAGUGGACGUUACUCGCAGAAUAAGCACCGGCUAACUCUGUGCCAGCCGCCGCGGUAA